UGGGUAGCAAACAGGAUUAGAUACCCUGGUAGUCCACGCCCUAAACGAUGGAUGCUAGUUGUUGGGGGUGCCAGUCACUUCAGUAAUGCAGCUAACGCAGUAAGCAUCCCGCCUGGGGAGUACGGUCGCAAGAUUAAAACUCAAAGGAAUAGACGGGGACCCGCACAAGCGGUGGAGCAUGUGGUUUAAUUCGAAGAUACGCGAAGAACCUUACCUGGGCUUGACAUCCUAAGAACUUUGUAGAGAUACAGAGGUGCUAGCUUGCUAGAACUUAGUGACAGGCGCUGCACGGCUGUCGUCAGCUCGUGUCGUGAGAUGUUGGGUUAAGUCCCGCAACGAGCGCAACCCCCGUCCUUAGUUGCUAACGGUUCGGCCGAGAACUCUAAGGAGACUGCCUUCGUAAGGAGGAGGAAGGUGGGGACGACGUCAAGUCAUCAUGGCCCUUAUGCCCAGGGCAACACACGUGCUACAAUGGGGUGUACAGAGAGAAGCAAUACUGCGAAGUGGAGCAAAUCUCUAAAGCAUCUCUUAGUUCGGAUUGCUCUCUGCAACUCGAGAGCAUGAAGCCGGAAUCGCUAGUAAUCGUGAAUCAGCUAUGUCACGGUGAAUACGUUCCCGGGUCUUGUACUCACCGCCCGUCACACCAUGGGAGUGCAUUCACCCGAAGC
rnacentral:rRNA from 1 species